GUGCCAGCCGCUGCGGUAAUACGUAGGGCGCAAGCGUUGUCCGGAAUUAUUGGGCGUAAAGAGCUCGUAGGCGGCUUGUCACGUCGGUUGUGAAAGCCCGGGGCUUAACCCCGGGUCUGCAGUCGAUACGGGCAGGCUAGAGUUCGGUAGGGGAGAUCGGAAUUCCUGGUGUAGCGGUGAAAUGCGCAGAUAUCAGGAGGAACACCGGUGCGAAGGCGGAUCUCUGGGCCGAUACUGACGCUGAGGAGCGGAAAGCGGUGGGAGCG
rnacentral:rRNA from 1 species